rnacentral:tRNA from 1 species
CGGCAGGUAGCACGUAAUUGGUAGCGUCGCGGGCUGUAACCCCGUUGCCCUUAGGGGUCUUGAAGGUUCGAGUCCUUCCCUGCCGACCA